GCCCGCCGCGGCCGGUCGAUGGAGCUCCGUCGACGGCAUGCCGGCCUGAUCGCCGACGAAAUGUAUUGUCACUUGAUUGUCAAUCGGCUUUUUACCGAGCCCGUUAUUAACUCCGCGUUACUCUUAUUAUAGCCGUAGUGCGCGUCGUAGAGAGAGAAACCUCGGGGUCUAGACACCCCGGCCGCAGGAAAUAACCGUCAAUUUGCGCCAUGCGGCAGGAUCUGCGGCGGGGACCGGCGGCGACGGCGGGGGUUUCGCCUUCGCGGAUUUGCACGGUAUCGUCAAAGAAGUAUCGCCGUGAAAAUCACAACGGAGAACCGGAUUUGUUUGAAAUAUUAUUUUUAAUAAUAUUUACGGCCCGUCAAUUAUUCCGCGAUUCGGAUGCUGCGUCCGGGACGUUUAAGCGCGCGGAUAUCUUAUAACUGCAUGGAUUUAGUGUGGGAGGUCGCAGCCGCGAAAUUAUUUGGAUCGAUGUCACGCGACUUUAGUGAGUUUCUGUUCUCCUGCUUCGAUAUAUAAAAUUUUUCAGGGAAAAGCUUGUAAUUUUGGUAGAUUUAACGAAAUGUUCAGAGAGACGUGAUGUAAAAAACAACAAAUAAAGUUAUAGAAUUCUAGUAGUUCAUAGAAA